rnacentral:lncRNA from 1 species
GCAGGUAAUUUACUUAUCUUAACAUUAAGGGAGUCGCCUGGAUCCUUUCUUUUUCUUACAUGGUUUCUUGGAUACCUUUAAUGUGAUUUUUCCCUCUUUGUUGAUCCGUAGAAUUAUUUGUUGUAUUAUUUCUGUGUUAUAAUUUCAUUGUAUUUAUCGGAAAAGUCAUCAACCUAUUUUGGACGCUACAGGUUCAUGCUUGUGGGCUACAGUAAUGCAGUUUCACAUUUGACAGCUUCUGAAGGUUCAAACACUGAGCUUGUCUUUCAUGUAUUUUCUCUUAUCGAAGUACUAGUUUACGUUGCAUUGUUAGAAGCUGCAGAGUCAUCUAUUCUUGCUUUUUCAGAAAAAGGAGGAUUUCUGUCUGGUGGAUCCUUUGCUGCUCAUAUCAAUAGAUGAAGUUGACUCCUGGGGUUUGGCUCUUAACACUGAAGCGAUGAGGUAUUCUCCACACUAUUUUUUUUCUUGUGUUGCCACCAU